UCCCUCUUAGGGCCACACCUGGAGAGUUUCCAAUACUCUACCAGGCUUGGCUAUGGGAGGGAGAGUCAAGCAGAGGCAGACCCAUUCCAUUCCUAGCUUAGCCAGUGGCUAGCGAGUGGAAGGCAAUCUGCUACAAGU